AUGUAUAUUCGGUAUCUCCGACAGAGUCCUUUCAUCCGCCGCGCACCUCCGGCGAAGUCUGCUAGAUUCGACAUUCGCAACUUCGCGCGAUAUCGCGAUCUCCCUCCCGGUGCAAAGCUCCACCGAUUCUCCCUCUGUGUUCUUCACGAACAGCCACAAAAUCUCUUAUUCCUCCGUUACGGUUCAACUUCCGACGGUAGUUCCUCUUCCGAUUGCAAAUUCCGACAACAUUAUCUUCUCCUCUUUAGUCCAAUCGUUUGUUUUGUGUGCAAACUUAUCUUCCUUUUCGCUCUAACUUCUUCCAGAUGGUUCUGUUUCCUGGAAGAGUUUUGA